CUGAAAAUUAGAAAUUCAUUCUUUAUUUCAGGUGUGUGCAUGCUGUUGUGUUGAUCCCUCUCCUCUCCCAGAAAAGUCAUUGUAGGCCCAAGUCGUUGAAGGGACAGACUGUGAAAGAACGGAUGCAGAGCAUGGACUAACUGGCCAGGACACAGUCAGUAUCUACUGAUACCUUGAAUACCUUGGCUGUGUUAACUGUUUUGACCCAACAUGGAGUGAAGAUGUUGGUUGUACCUUGAGAUGCUGACAUCUGGCUGAAGUCCAGGGUCACUGGCCCAAGACAGGUCAUUCAGCUGUUUGAAAAAAAAACAGAAGAGAGACCAGGCCAUCCACUGAGGUAAUCUCCAUGCAGCAUGGACCACUGGUUCCAAUGAACCCACCAUCACUAUACUUCUCAGGAAUCGCUGGUCACUAGACUGAGAGUUCUGUGAAAGCUGAGAUCAUAUCUUACUGAUCUCUGUGUUCAUGGUUCCCAGCUCAGGGUCUAGCACUGUGGGAGUUCUCAGCAGAGUGUUCAUCAAUUAUUGAAAAAAAGCAAUUGCAAACCUCCUCUCACCUGUAUUCCUGUCCCAAAUGUCCUGUUGGGGGUGCUGAGAUUUCUCCCAGGAUGCAGCAAAUCCCUUUCCUUAGGCCCGCCCUUGGCUUACACCAUUCAUGCCCCAGGAUCCCUCUCUGUGGGACAUUGGUGGAAAAUGAGUCUGUUCUGAAGAAGUCCUCUUAUGGUUCCCCCUGUCAUUAGGAGCAAUGUCUUCACCUAAACUCCCACUCUCUGGGUUGCCACAACACCCCAAUGUGGGGGAACUUCCAUAUUUUCUUAAAAUGCUAUGUUUCUGUUCUUUCUCUCAUGGGCUUGAGUUCCUUUGGGGAGACAUUAAUAUCUGAAUCCCAAGUGUUUAACACAGUGUAAAGAAAAUUAAACACCCAAUAAAUAUUUAUGAGAUAUCAUUUGGAAA